UUGUUGCUGUGGUAACCACUGUGCGAUUUUUUUGAAUAUUUAUGCUGUGUAAAAGGAGCUUGGAUUACCUAAAGAUAGCAUGGAUGGUUCUUCAGCAUGAGUCCCUUUGGUAGGAAUAGAGACUUUGAUUCCUUCGGAAAAACUUACCUGAUGUCAUAUUAUUUUUCCCAAGUUCAGGAGAAACCUGCUAAAGAUUAACAAGCAGAGAAGCUAUCCUUAUAUUCCAGUGAUCCUCAAAAGCUGAAAGAAACACUUUUCAUAGUUUUCUGCAGUCAUGUUUUUUUUUUUUUUCUUUUGACUUUUUUUUAUGGCAAUCCUACAAAGAUGAAAUGAAACCUUCUCUUUUCCUCCUGAUACUAAGGACAAAGGCUCUCUCUAAACAAGACACAAUACAAUUUUGGUAGAAGAAAAAGAGUGCUAUGCUCUAUAGAAAAAAGUACCCAUAGGGGACUACAAUGAAAAGACAGUAUCAACUUGAUCAGAAACAAAUGAAAAAGUGACUGUGAUUCAGUGGCACAAAAAAAUGGUCUGAGAUCUGGAUUUGUAUUUUAGUUGCAGAGGAAAUGGUUAUGCUGGAGGGGACUGCAGGGACAUGACAAAUCUGAGCUCUCAUAGCUGAGGCUUCUUGCUCUCACCUCGUGUCCUGUGUCUGUAGCAAACCCAGAUCUGUAGCAAACAUGGAAUUGGGCUCUUCUGGGCACCUCAGCGUGAGAUUGCACUUUAGAAGCAAUAGUUCCUGCAAAUUUGCUAUGGAAGCUUCUGUACAAGAACAUCAAGAGAAAGAACAACCAGUUCAAGAAAGCAUCAUUCAGUCUUGGUCUGUGUUAGACCCAGAAGAAUCUGUGAAAUAGGAGCCCACGAGAAACCAGCUUCCUCUGGUUCUGCUGCUGGUGAAACUGCUUUAAUUAUGCCACUGGGCUUGUGUCAUGAGUGGCUUCACCUUUAUUACAAAGACAACAGGAAGAUAAAGAAGAGGCUAGACACUGAUGCACAGAGAGCAUAACAAGAGUGUUACCUGAGAAAACCCCCUGAAAUUCAGCAGCCUAUGUGCCAGAAGGACUUUCAAAGUGAUCCACAGCUGCAUGGUUGAAACCUUCUCUCAUGUCUCCAGCAGAGAAGGGAAAACAGAGAAUCCAUCCUUCACAUUUUAGAGCUCUGCAGCUCAAGGGGAAAGCUGUGAAAUUCCUGAUUCCAAUUUUCCUCGACUUCAUGGCAGCAAUAAAAAGAGCACAAGUAGAAAAGAACUAGAUAUUUAACAGCUUAAAAAGACAUAUUGACAUUGGCACAUACUUAUUUGCUGCAGCAUUUUCUGGGAUUUCUGCUGAAAUAGAAGCCUUUUAAUAAAACAAUGGAUAUCUUGCCAUAAAAAAGGUGUAAACAAAAGCCAUGUCAAACUGUGUUCUGCACAAUAUGUAUGUGAAUGAAGGGAAGAGUAAUGAAAAAGCUUGCCAAGUCAAACAAGAUAAAAGCAAAAUAAAAAAUGAAACCACAAAGCAUCGCUAAUAAGUAGCACAACAGGGCCUUUGUUUAGCUGCGUAAUUCUUUUUUUGGUAUAGAUUUGAAAAUAUUUGUUUCAGCAGGAGUAAGAAGCCCCUGUGCUUGCUGUAGAAGCUUCACACAGGUAGUUUCCAAUUACUGAAGCCGAUGUUUGGCACUCUUCAAGAAAGGGAUUGGGCACUUGUAGGAAGAGAAAAAUAGAAUUAGGCAGCUGUAAAAGCUGGAUAUUUUAAUAAAAGAUUAUGUAUCUCAAAGCUUGAAAGCCCUAUAGCAAUUCAGCCUUUAACUAGUUUGUGCGAGAGAAGAGCUUACCUACAGACAUCUGAUUUUAUUGUAUCCCUUUUACUCUGGUUUUCUAAGUUUUAUUAUUGACCUCAGUGGCUGAUACCCAGUAAAAUUAUGCUCAGUAAAAUUGGCCUGAUCCAGUAUUUCAUAUCCUAUAAUUCUGUCUUCUUAAUUCUUCCUGUAUAAUAGGCAUUAAUUAAGUUAGCUGGAGUUCACAGAAGAGAACUCUUUUGGGUUGGAUUGAAGGUGUUUUGUUUAGCUUUGAUGGAUGAAUGGCUGUCUCUAUCAUCAGGCACAAGUAAUAGAAUAUUUUAUCAUCUUCCUAGAUAGGUUGUCAACAUGUGGUGCAUAGCAGCUGCUGUGAAUUCAUACUUUUUCCAAUAGGAAAUAUGGUAAAUGUAGAAACCAAAAUAAAAUUGCAGAGGAAAUAACAUUCUUAUGUAUUUCAGUAACCAAGGUGUGUUAAGUGGUGUCUGGAUUUUGGUGGGGAAUUUUUUGUUGUUGCUGUUUUCUUUUUGUUUGUUUUGUUUGUUGGGUUUGUUGCUGUUUUGGUUUUUGUUUUUAUUUUGUAACCAUGUAUGAGUUUAGCUGUAAUACAGAAAAUAAAGAUUUCCUUUCUGGUCCAGAGCUGAAGACCAGACAUUUUGCUCAAAUUGAAAAAAAGUCAUUAAAUUUAAUAUAUUUUUAUCUUCCUCUGGCACGGGAGGUUAGUAGAGAAAUCCUUCUCAGGUGCAGACUGCAAAUGGACUCCAUCCAAAAUCUCCUGAAGUCAAUACAGAAAAGUUCAUGCUCUUCAUUUGAUAUUGGAUCAAGUCUUCUUUUCAUCUCUGACCAAGAUUACUUUCACAAUUCUGGCCUGUUUCUGGGUAAUAGAGGAGCAGAUCCAUGGACACGGUGUGAGGAAGAAAAGAUCUUCCAAAUGAAUGCAGCUUCAGAUAAUGGCCUCUCAUGGUACUAAAGUAUUGCUGAUGGAGAGAUGAAGAAAGUUCCAUUUUUAAGAGGAGAGAUGAAUAUUUGCUCUUAGGCACCUGGAAACAGAGGCAAGUUACCCUUCAAAAUAAAAGAUCCAGAGAUUGGUUAUGUCCAAGUGAAGCUGGAGAAUCACUGGGAUGUUGGGACCUUGUGCUGUGUCACACACAGGAUGCAGCUCACUAAAGGUGUUCAUUUUGUAUUUGUGAGGUUUCCUCUGUGUUAUUCUAUCAAUUCCUGUGAACUUUUAAACAAUAUUUCUGUUAUGCACAUUCAGACAGGUUCUACAUAUUCUUCCAUACAAGUAGCUGUAGAAAAACUGUGCAUUUCAGUAGGACUGCAAAAUCCUGUGCACUGUGAAUGCUUCUCUGCCCCUGAAAAUUGAUUAUUCCACUCUGUGUACUUUCCUAAACCAUUUAAGUGGAUCAGAUAGUUAUAGAUAUUUGACAUGUUAAGUGAUGGUCUGGCUAGAGUAGCACUUGUAUGAGGUAAGUGAAUUGUUUCCAGUAAACUUAGCCUAUCUGUAUUGUUAAUGUGCUACCACCUGCCUUAAAAAUGGUCAGUCAAUUUGUUGCAUGACAUUUCUGGAGUAAGUGAGCAGUAUGGAUUAAUUGAGUUAAUUCUAAAUAUGUCAUUGAUUUUUUUUUUUUUUCUAUGUGAGCUG